AAAAAAAAAAAACACAAUGAAAAUAACACUGUGCUAUUGUCCUUUUAUCCUGAGAUCUGUUUACAGAGGAUCCUGCAGCAGGACCUGCCUGGAUCAUCACCUCCAUACGCAGUGCUGGGGGGUUAUUUUUAAUGCAGUGUUUUCCAUACACCAGGAAAAAAUAUAUAUAUAUCGAUACAUCCCGUUAUGCAAGCGUUGUUACCAGGCUGCAAAUUAUAUGCUGGGUUAUGAAAUAAAUAAGGCAAAAAUAAAUAAAAAAUAAAAAAAUCACCCAACCCACCCUAUUUCUGAAAAUAGACACAAGGGAGCUCUGACAGCAUCCAUGCCAUCAGCAGUGUGGAUUACAGCAUCCUGCAGCCCUUGUUUUCCAGAUGGAAUUAAGGAUUUUUGCCCAGCUCUGACUUGGAGCAGUUUAUUUUCUUCUUUAUUUCACUGGGGUGUUGAUUGGAGCCCAUAGGUGUGUGCUUUAUUUAAAAAUAUUUAUACAGAAAAAAGCAGAAGGUGUCCGUCUGUCAGGGAGGCUCACGGACAUCAGCAGAGGGCAAAGGGAAUAUCUUCUGAAAUUAAAUAUAUCCCUUAACUCUGUGUAAGGUCAAACUUUCUCUCACAGACUUCAUCUGCUUAACGCGAGUGGCUGCACUCAGUGAUGCUGAGGAGACCUUAUCCCCUUUUUUCGACCCUGUUUUAAGAACAUCACGUAACCUCCACAUUUUGUGGAGGGAGGAAGAAAAGAAAAGAAAAAAAAAAAAAGAAAAGCGAGAGUAAAAAAUGAGCAAACGGAGAAUGUUUUCCUCACAGAAAGGGGAGGGGGAGGCAGGCGGCCGCGCAGCACAGCGCCGCCCGCGGUACUGCAGGGCCCCGCCCGCUGCUCGCUUCACAAAAUGGCGCCCGGCGGGGCCGCGCCGAGCGCUUCUGAGGCGACAAAAUGGCGGCGGGUGGACAGCGAAGGACGGGCCUCAUGGCCCCUCGUUCCCCUCCCCGUCCCGUUUUGAGGUGUUUUUCCUCUCAUAGCGUGAAGAUUUUGGGGGGUUGCAGCCUUCGCUGCCCUCACCGCGUGGAAAAUGCCAAAAAAACAAAACAAAACAAUAC